rnacentral:rRNA from 1 species
GAGUCGGCUCUCUGCAUACCGUCACUCCCCCAAAAGGUCGCUUCGUCUGUGCUGAAAGAGGUUUACAACCCGAAGGCCGUCAUCCCUCACGCGGCGUUGCUGGAUCAGGCUUCCGCCCAUUGUCCAAUAUUCCCCACUGCUGCCUCCCGUAGGAGUCCCCCCGUGCCCCCGCCCCGCCCGCCGCGCGGGGCGGGGGGGGCG